rnacentral:rRNA from 1 species
UGCCAGACUCCUACGGGAGGCAGCAGUGGGGAAUAUUGGGCAAUGGGCGCAAGCCUGACCCAGCAAUGCCGCGUGAAGGAAGAAGGCUUUCGGGUUGUAAACUUCUUUGACAGGGGAAGAGCAGAAGACGGUACCCUGAAAACAAGCCACGGCUAACUACGUGCCAGCAGCCGCGGUAAUACGUAGGUGGCAAGCGUUGUCCGGAUUUACUGGGUGUAAAGGGCGUGUAGCCGGGAAGGCAAGUCAGAUGUGAAAUCCGGAGGCUCAACCUCCGAAUUGCAUUUGAAACUGUUUUUCUUGAGUACUGGAGAGGCAGACGGAAUUCCUUGUGUAGCGGUGAAAUGCGUAGAUAUACGGAGGAACACCAGUGGCGAAGGCGGAUUGCUGGACAGUAACUGACGCUGAGGCGCGAAAGCGUGGGGAGCAAACAGGAUUAGAUACCCCAGUA